AUGAUUACGCAGGCGCUCACCAAGCUGGGAGGCACCUCCGGCCGCAUCGCCAUCGCCGCCUUCAUCCUCAGCCGCUUCACGGGCCUCCCCGCCACCCACGACAAGCUCCUCAAAGCCAGCCUCCGCCGCCUCGUCUCCGAAGGCGUCAGUAACGGCAGCAGUGGCGAGGAUGACGUUGAUGAUGAUGAAUACACUCCACACAAGCGAGGCACUGGGAGACCAAGGAAGAUACUGAGAGGGCGUGGGAGGCCGAGAAAGGACGCACAACAAUCACAAUCACAAGCAAAGCAUCCUCCAACUCCAACUGCAACUGCGUCAUCAACUGGUGGCAUGCAACAAUCAGAAGCAGAAGCAGCAGCAGCAGAGCCUCGUAAGGUUACCCUAUCUGCGAAUGGAGAUGCUGCCUCCCCAUCGACCAAGAGUGGCCGUGGGAGGCCAAGGAAGAUACGGGGAGGGCGUGGGAUGCCGAGAAAGGACCAGCAGCAAUCACAAGCAAAGCAUUCUCCAACUCCAGCUGCGUCAACUGGUAAAGCAGCAGCAGAGCAUCCUCCAACUCCAUUGUCAACUGAUGGUAUCAAGAGAGGGCGUGGGAGGCCGAGAAAGGAGGCCGACAAAGGAGGAUCAACAAAGGACGAUCCUCCUGCUCCUGCUGCAUCGGCGGGAGUCAAGAGAUCGCGUGGGAGGCCAAGAGUGUACAGACCAAUGCCCGUCAAAACUGGAGAUGAACUUGAGAAUCCAGUAUCAGUUGAUGUCGCACUUGAGAAUCCAAGAAUGCACAGGCCAUCAGCAGCUGGUGUUGUGUCCAUGGUCAUGAAGAGAGGAAUACCUGCUAAGGCUCAAGAUGCAAGGCCUGCUGAAGCUGGAGAUGCGAUACCUGCUAAAGCUAGAUAUGCAAGGCCUGCUGAAGCUGGAGAUGCAACGCCUACUGAAGAAACUGGAGGUGCUGCAUCGACGGGAAUCAAGAGACCACGUGGGAGGCCAAGAAAGGAGAAGCCAGCAGCAGCAAUGUCUGCUCAAGCUGGGGAUGCUGUGUCGGCCGGGAUCAAGAGAGCGCGUGGGAGGCCAAGAAAAAAAUGA
rnacentral:rRNA from 1 species